CGAACGUUGGCGGCGUGGAUGAGGCAUGCAAGUCGCGCGAGAAAGCACCUUCGGGUGUGAGUAGAGCGGCGGACGGGUGAGUAACACGUGACCGAUCUGCCCUUGAUCCUGGGACAACAGCGGGAAACUGCUGCUAAUACCGGAUGGUCCAUCUGGACUGCAUGGUCUGGAUGGUAAAGGUGGGGCUCCUGCGGGACCUACCGAUCGAGGAGGAGGUUGCGGCCUAUCAGCUAGUUGGCGGGGUAACGGCCCACCAAGGCGACGACGGGUAGCAGGCCUGAGAGGGUGGUCUGCCACACUGGGACUGAGACACUGCCCAGACUCCUACGGGAGGCUGCAGUCGAGGAUCUUCCGCAAUGGGCGCAAGCCUGACGGAGCGACGCCGCGUGGAGGACGAAGGCCUUAGGGUUGUAAACUCCUGUCGAGGGUUAUGAAUGGCGUUUGGUGAACAGCCGAACGAGUGACGUAAGCCCUGGAGGAAGCACCGGCUAACUCUGUG
rnacentral:rRNA from 1 species